rnacentral:rRNA from 1 species
AUUGAACGCUGGCGGCAGGCCUAACACAUGCAAGUCGAACGGAGUGGCGGACGGGUGAGUAAUGUCUGGGAAACUGCCCGAUGGAGGGGGAUAACGUCCGGAAACGGGCGCUAAUACCGCAUACUAUCAGAUGAGCCUAGGUCGGAUUAGCUAGUUGGUGGGGUAAAGGCCUACCAAGGCGACGAUCCGUAACUGGUCUGAGAGGAUGAUCAGUCACACUGGAACUUAGACACGGUCCAGACUCCUACGGAAGGCAGCAGUGGGGAAUAUUGGACAAUGGGCGAAAGCCUGAUCCAGCCAUGCCGCGUGUGUGAAGAAGGUCUUCGGAUUGUAAAGCACUUUCAGCGGGGAGGCGUUACCCGCAGAAGAAGCACCGGCUAACUCCGUGCCAGCAGCCGCGGUAAUUC